GGGGAUUUUCCUCAAGUAUCCUCGCUGACCGAAGGACCGACCGCCGGAGCUGCGGAGACCAGAUUCGGGGACCCCCCCUCUCCUUGCUGCCUGAUGGACCUGCGUUCGUGCAGGUCCGUCAGGUCCUGCGCUCUUUGUGAACCUCGGUUUGCACCCUUCUCUUGAGUCUCUCAUUCAGGACUUCUCUUUAAUCAAGGUGUCACCCGACAUCAGCGUAAGCGUUGAUUACGUCAUUAAGACCUCCCCCUUUACGUAUCAAGCAAGGUGAUGCGUAAAGGGUCACGUGUCGUCAUAGUCGCCAUCUUGGGGAGGUGCAACUGGCUAAGCUGUGUCAGGGUUCUCUGUUUGGCCGGUGCUCUAACUCUGCUUCACAGGUGGUUCUAGUUUGCUGGGGGUCGUUUGGAGCACUGUUUACUGUCGUCUUAAGGAAGGCACAGACAGAAGGAAGACGCCAGAGCCUUACCCAGUCAUGUUUUGUGUUUGGAUAACUCACCCGCCUUGACGUCUCGCUCUACGAACCAGCUUCCAAGAAUCCCUGAAGCUCAGAUGUUGCUCUGGCAUUCCCCCUCGUACUCUCUGGAUGUUACCAGGAUGGGCUCGAGGUUCCCUUCCCUGGAUUCUGCUGGUUCCCUCUGAUCUCUGGUCAAACCGUCUGUCUCCCCUGUCUGUCGUGGUUCGCUCCGGAUCCCUCGCCGCCUUGCCAUCAGUCUGCCCUCCAGUUGCUAACCACCGGCUAUCCUCGUGAGCACUCGGCCUCAGAGUUUCCCUCACCUUCCCCUCCCCGGUUAGGUUCGCUCAACUAAAUAUUCCUCCGGCAUUGACGUUCAGACCUUGACGGAUCUCCACACCCAUGCAAUGAUCCCUGUACCUGAACCAUUUAAUAAACACCUUUAAACUGCACUCUCUCUUCCGUAUUGUGUCUGCAUGUGGG